UAAGGAAUCUUCCACAAUGGGGGCAACCCUGAUGGAGCAACUCCGCGUGCAGGAUGAAGGUCUUCGGAUCGUAAACUGCUUUUAUAAGUGAAGAAUAUGACUGUAACUUAUGAAUAAGGAUCGGCUAACUACGUGCCAGCAGCCGCGGUCAUACGUAGGAUCCGAGCGUUAUCCGGAGUGACUGGGCGUAAAGAGUUGCGUAGGUGGUUAGUAAAGCGAAUAGUGAAACCUGGUGGCUCAACCAUACAGACUAUUAUUCGAACUCACUAACUCGAGAGUAGCAGAGGUAACUGGAAUUUCUUGUGUAGGAGUGAAAUCCGUAGAUAUAAGAAGGAACACCAAUGGCGUAGGCAGGUUACUGGGCUAUUUCUGACACUGAGGCACGAAAGCGUGGGGAGCG
rnacentral:rRNA from 1 species